CAUAAGAAACAAACAAUAACGGUGGAAGACACAUAAGAAGUUACAUUUUCAACAAUUGCAAUCCAAUCGACGUUAUUCAUUCCACAUGCGAUUUACACGUUAUAAUACAUAUUCAUUCGUAAAUGUCGUAACGUUGGUAAUGCGUGUGGAAU